AAAAUCACAACACUCACAACUCAAUUAAUUAUAUACAUAAAUAAACAAAAAUAUUCUAAAUGUCAUAGGUUAGGUUAUUAUUUGGUGUUAUGUGUAGCUCCUAAUAUUUUAUUUGUUUCUAUACAAUAUGAUAGUGAAUGUGGCGUUUUUGGAGUUUUUGAUGGCAAUUGUUCUGGAUUGAAUGGUUUACGUUUAAUUUGAGGGUUUCUACUAGCAGCCAGAUUUUUUCUUCCUCCAAUUUGGGUUGUUCUUCUAGAUCUAGAAGUGGGCUAUGUUCCAAUUUGUUUGUUACCAAUCAAUUUUGGUUUCUUGGAGUUUGGAUUUAAGCCGGAAUACUUCCCAAAUGUUUGCAUUGCAGAAGAAAGGCUUGCAUGGGUUUUUACAUUGUUUUGAAAUGAAUUCAUAAAUGAUUUAAUAGAUGGUAAACAAAGAUUUAAAUCCAUUUUUAAAUUAUUUUGAGUCAUUGGACAUAAACAGUUUCGGUCCUUUUUCGCUUCUACCAGCCAGUGCACCAGGUAAUAAUAAAUUUUUCCAUAAUUCCAAACCUUCUGUAAUUACAGACGUGGAUUCACUAGUUAAAAUUAUUGUUCCUAUAGGUAGACCUCCUACACAACUAUUAGAGUAUAUCAUGAAUACUUUACAACCAAAUCUAUCAAUGUUUCCAGAAGCAUCUUUGAAGAGUAUCUCUCCACAUUCAUCGAAUCCAUAGCUUAUACAUUUCAUUAACGGUGUUUGUAUAGCAAUAGCAAAAUUCUGAUCUUCAAGUACCUUUAUUGCCGCCAUAUCCGAGUUACAUUCUAUAUUGUACUCCUCGACUGCUUCUUUAAGAGAUGUCAUCAUAUGUUCGCCGUGUGAAUAACCAAAAUGUUUUUUAAAAGAUUUAUAAUAAAGAUAAUAUACCCAUUGUGGAUCUAGAAUUUCUCCACGAUCACCUGCAUAUAUUUAAUAACUGUUACCUUUUUCGUUUCUCAAUUGUGAUUUAAAUGUAAAUAAUACCUUUGACGGUGUUUUUCCUUCUUCGAAUAAUCUAAGAAACUUGGUUUCAACGUCAUUGGUAGGUUUUCUAUGCUUUAGAACUUCAGCUCUUAAAAUUUCAUGAUUAUGCAUAUGUUUUAACUGAACUUCAGCCUUUGUAGUCAAAUUAUUAGAUGACACAUCUUCUUCACUGCUUAA